GAUGAACGCUGGCGGCGUGCCUAAUACAUGCAAGUCGAACGAGUUCUCGUUGAUGAUCGGUGCUUGCACCGAGAUUCAACAUGGAACGAGUGGCGGACGGGUGAGUAACACGUGGGUAACCUGCCCUUAAGUGGGGGAUAACAUUUGGAAACAGAUGCUAAUACCGCAUAGAUCCAAGAACCGCAUGGUUCUUGGCUGAAAGAUGGCGUAAGCUAUCGCUUUUGGAUGGACCCGCGGCGUAUUAGCUAGUUGGUGAGGUAAUGGCUCACCAAGGCGAUGAUACGUAGCCGAACUGAGAGGUUGAUCGGCCACAUUGGGACUGAGACACGGCCCAAACUCCUACGGGAGGCAGCAGUAGGGAAUCUUCCACAAUGGACGCAAGUCUGAUGGAGCAACGCCGCGUGAGUGAAGAAGGCUUUCGGGUCGUAAAACUCUGUUGUUGGAGAAGAAUGGUCGGCAGAGUAACUGUUGUCGGCGUGACGGUAUCCAACCAGAAAGCCACGGCUAACUACGUGCCAGCAGCCGCGGUAAUACGUAGGUGGCAAGCGUUAUCCGGAUUUAUUGGGCGUAAAGCGAGCGCAGGCGGUUUUUUAAGUCUGAUGUGAAAGCCCUCGGCUUAACCGAGGAAGCGCAUCGGAAACUGGGAAACUUGAGUGCAGAAGAGGACAGUGGAACUCCAUGUGUAGCGGUGAAAUGCGUAGAUAUAUGGAAGAACACCAGUGGCGAAGGCGGCUGUCUGGUCUGUAACUGACGCUGAGGCUCGAAAGCAUGGGUAGCGAACAGGAUUAGAUACCCUGGUAGUCCAUGCCGUAAACGAUGAAUGCUAGGUGUUGGAGGGUUUCCGCCCUUCAGUGCCGCAGCUAACGCAUUAAGCAUUCCGCCUGGGGAGUACGACCGCAAGGUUGAAACUCAAAGGAAUUGACGGGGGCCCGCACAAGCGGUGGAGCAUGUGGUUUAAUUCGAAGCAACGCGAAGAACCUUACCAGGUCUUGACAUCUUUUGAUCACCUGAGAGAUCAGGUUUCCCCUUCGGGGGCAAAAUGACAGGUGGUGCAUGGUUGUCGUCAGCUCGUGUCGUGAGAUGUUGGGUUAAGUCCCGCAACGAGCGCAACCCUUAUGACUAGUUGCCAGCAUUUAGUUGGGCACUCUAGUAAGACUGCCGGUGACAAACCGGAGGAAGGUGGGGAUGACGUCAAAUCAUCAUGCCCCUUAUGACCUGGGCUACACACGUGCUACAAUGGAUGGUACAACGAGUUGCGAGACCGCGAGGUCAAGCUAAUCUCUUAAAGCCAUUCUCAGUUCGGACUGUAGGCUGCAACUCGCCUACACGAAGUCGGAAUCGCUAGUAAUCGCGGAUCAGCACGCCGCGGUGAAUACGUUCCCGGGCCUUGUACACACCGCCCGUCACACCAUGAGAGUUUGUAACACCCGAAGCCGGUGGCGUAACCCUUUUAGGGAGCGAGCCGUCUAAGGUGGGACAAAUGAUUAGGG
rnacentral:rRNA from 3 species